GUAGCUCAGUUAGUAGAGUGCUUGCCUUGCAUGCACAAGGCCCUGGGUUCAAUCCCCAGC
rnacentral:tRNA from 1 species